UAGAAGACCGACCAUCUUGUUUUAAUGGAAUAAACGUGGCAUCUUCCUCUUAUAUACCUUAAUUAGAUCAAUUCAAAUGCGAAAAGCACCGCGUUAUUCUCUAAUUUGACUCGUUCUUCUUAUCAGACACAAUACAGAUCAAACUCUCCACUGAAUUGACAAAUGGAACGUUCCAGACUUAACUUUCAGUAUACGUCGAAUUUUCUUAGAACAGUCAAAAUUGCUGUCUCAACCCAAUCCAAACAACACAUACCCACCAACUUUCCGUUCUCCCUUCCCACCUAUUUAUACACACAAAUUUGUAAACAGAGUCAUAUUCGUACAAAUAGAGACUUUUUUCUGCUGUUGCGUUUAACAAUUAUGCAAAUGGAGGAACAACCGCAUAAGGGCACGGGAGAAGGCUAUGAUCAUCCAAUUCAUAGCCAGGUCAAGAAAGUAAAGCGUUGCUUUUGAUCUAAAAUGGUGAUUUUCUAGUUAAUAAAGCCGGUUAUAUAUGUGAUUUAUGCACAGUUUAUAUUUUUUGUACUUUAGACUUGGCUUUAUUAAUUAGAACUCGUUACGAUGCGUCUAGUCUGUAAAUAAUAUAUGAUGUAUAUAUGUGUGUGUGGUGGUAGGUUCGAUGGAACAAUUGGGUUUUUGUACAAGUUGUUCUUUUUCAUUAGUUGUCUAAUAUCAAUCUGCUGUUGAUGUUAUGUCUGAUAAUUAGAACAAUUUUAAGAUGUUUGUACAAAGAAUUUAGUAAUAUUUUGAUCAUAGAAAAUCGCUUAAACAGAUGAUUAUGGUCUUUACUGGAGUCUCUGGAAGACGAAAAGCAAUUAAUUUUAGCUUAAUAUUGUGUAAGUUUGCCGUCUUUGGACUCUUUUUGUUUGAUAAGAAACAUAUAUAGGAUACUGAAAAAUCAAAUCCAUACCUUGUGUAUGUUUUUCAAGCCAAAGCAACAAGGCAUUUCUUAAUCAAAACAGCGUAUUUUAGUUUAUGCCUGAUUUCUGUAUUGUGAAUAAGUCCUUUUUUGAUUAAAAAAAAAAUGAAGCAAGUUUACUUUUUGCAUAUAUUGUUACUUUCUGCUACAUAAUGGUAAUUGGUACACCAAACAGAUUCUAAAUAAAAUUUUAGAGACAUUACAAGAAAAUUGUCCUUUACAAUAAGCAGAAUAUAUUGUCGCGUGUCUUUUACAACGUCCACUUAUACGUUAGGGUGGUAUUAUAGAGUACACGAAUACAACAAAAGAUAAUGCACGUCAUGAAAGAUUGCAAUAUACUUGUCGUUAAUGUUUUAACACAUGCAUUUGCAACGUAAUUUUUGCACGUACGCCAAACAUAUUUUGAAUAAAAUUAUGGAGAGUCAUCUAGGAGUUGAUUUAUUCAACUGACUAUAUAAAUAUCUAAUUUUGAAAAAUACUAGCUCUUUAUAGUGAAAAAGAAAGUCAGCACUAUACCAAGGAUUCCUUCUAAAUUUCCACUUUUUGUGCGUGUGUAUACUGCAGAAGCAUUGAAUAUGUCCAAAUAUCUAGAUACUGCCCAAAAAUAAAAUUAGAGGCCUGUUAAAUCUAUCUGAUGAGCAACACAUUUUCAGGCUUCCCUUUAUGAUAAGAUUUGUUACUUACAAUAUUGGGCCUGGCCUAGGCCCAGAUUGAAUCGUUCUGUGCUCCGUGUUGGUCCAACCUAGGCCCAAAUAUUAUGGUUCGACUUUGCGGGCCUUUAUUUUCUAUUAAUAUUUUCAACAAAAAAUGGACAAAAAAUAAAAAAUAAAAUUAAAGCGCAAGACCAAG
rnacentral:lncRNA from 1 species